rnacentral:rRNA from 1 species
UGCCAGCAGCCGCGGUAAGACGAACCGUCCAAACGUUAUUCGGUAUCACUGGGCUUAAAGCGUGCGUAGGCGGCUUGGUAGGUGAGAUGUGAAAGCCCACGGCUCAACCGUGGAAUUGCGUUUCAAACCCCCAAGCUCGAGGAAGAUAGGGGUGAUGGGAACUUAUGGUGGAGCGGUGAAAUGCGUUGAUAUCAUAGGGAACACCGGUGGCGAAAGCGCAUCACUGGAUCUUUUCUGACACUCAAAGGCGAAAGCUAGGGUAGCAAAAGGGAUUAGAUA